ACCGAAAAAAUGAUAUUCAAAAUUGUCUUAAAUUUGCAAAACAAAUAAACACUAAAAAUUUGAUUCAACAAUGAAAGUCUUGGCCGUAGUGUUGUUGUUGGCAUUGGUGGCUAUGGCCAGCGCUCAGUUUUACUAUAGUUCACCUUAUGUGGCAAAUUAUGGACAGCCAUACGCCUAUUCAUCCCCUUAUGCCUCUGUGCCAGCAUAUAGUAGCUAUUAUGGAUCAGGCUAUGCUUAUCCUGCUUACACCGGAUACUCAACUUAUCUCAAGAAAUAGACUGUCGAUUCCGGAUCAAUGAAAAAGUGCCUCAUUUUUAUAAAAUUUUAUUUUCAAUUAAUUUUUUAAUGUAUAUUUUCAAAACAAAUAACAAUUUUUGUACG